rnacentral:rRNA from 1 species
AACUCAAAGGAAUUGACGGGGACCCGCACAAGCGGUGGAGCAUGUGGUUUAAUUCGAAGCAACGCGAAGAACCUUACCUGAUCUUGACAUCCCGAUGCCAAAGCGCGUAACGCGCUCUUUCUUCGGAACAUCGGUGACAGGUGGUGCAUGGUUGUCGUCAGCUCGUGUCGUGAGAUGUUGGGUUAAGUCCCGCAACGAGCGCAACCCUUAUCUUCAGUAGCCAGCAUUAUGGAUGGGCACUCUGGAGAGACUGCCAGGGAGAACCUGGAGGAAGGUGGGGAUGACGUCAAAUCAUCAUGCCCCUUAUGACCAGGGCUACACACGUGCUACAAUGGCGUAAACAAAGGGAGGCGAACCCGCGAGGGUGGGCAAAUCCCAAAAAUAACGUCUCAGUUCGGAUUGUAGUCUGCAACUCGACUACAUGAAGCUGGAAUCGCUAGUAAUCGCGAAUCAGAAUGUCGCGGUGAAUACGUUCCCGGGUCUUGUACACACCGCCCGUC